rnacentral:tRNA from 2 species
GGGGACGUAGCUCAAUUGGGAGAGCGCUGCCCUUGCAAGGCAGAGGUUGUCGGUUCGAUCCCGAUCGUCUCCA